AACUCACUCUUGCUAUCUCCCCCACACCUCAGGAGAAGUUUUGGGCUUGUGAUCAACCAGUCAGUUGGAUCCUGUAGAGUGAGGUUAACAUCCGAAGUUUGGAGUUCUCUUCCGUGUUUGUUGCCCAAGGUUGUUUCUAAUUUAUUAUCUACGCUAUGUAAUUUAUGCGUUGUCCUUUGAUAUUACCCCUUAUUUGUAGCUAUAUGUGAGGCUUGUCUUCUAAAACUCACAUAUGGUGCAU
rnacentral:lncRNA from 1 species